rnacentral:lncRNA from 1 species
CCGGGACAUCGUGCCCGUCUCUGAAGUGAUGCGUGACGAGGGCUCCUCUGCAUGCUAGCGGUGCGCUGAUGCUGUGAAGUUUGUAUUUUCUAAAGCGACGAAACUAGGCUGCCGGGGCGAUGAGCUAGGAUUUGCGUCAGGAGGGCCGGAUUCCGCGUCUCUCCCGGGCAGGGGCGGCGGCGGUGGGUAGCCUCGUAGCGGCGCAAAUUCGGUGCAUGGUGGCGAGGGAAGUUAUGCGCCGCCCGGAUGGGAGCGGGGAACCUCACGGCGGCGGGAUCGCCGGAGUUGACGCCCGACGGUGGCAAGGACAACACAGG